ACGCACCUCCUCCCCGGAUUCUUAGGAAUUCCAGCCCCGACACCGACAUCUGCCAUCGAGCUCCUUCUGCAGCGCGCCCAACUGCUGUCGUUGUUCCAUACCGGAACAAAAGCAGAGCCCUUUGUGCAGCUCCUCUGCUCCCUUGCCGACCAGCUACCCCGCGCAGCUAGCUUGUGUCUACUUUGGUCCGACGGCCUGGCUGUAGCCUCCUGCAUGCGCCUUGCUGCUGUUCCACCGAAGGCGAGUUUACCCGAAUGGCCUCGUUCCUCUACUUUGCCUUCCUGGUUUACCAAGCAUUGAAGACCAAAGGACUUAACCACAAGGCUGCCACUAGCGUGGCAAGCUUAGCGAGGCCUGAGGAGAUCGGUGAACACAAAGAUGAAGCGGUUGUUGUCACAAAAUUGGCGAAAGCAUCUCAUCACCUGCAAAACAGCAGCACUGUUCUUUUCUCUCUCUUUGCCUAUCUUCGUGCCUGCCUUCCUAUAUUCUGGUUUAAGAAGUAUCAUCUGCUGCUGCUGCAGACUCUGGUGUUGAGGCGGCGGGGACAAGCAACCUGGAGGAGAAGCAGCUAGAUAGACGAUCUCGGCAGGUGAGAAGCUGAUGGUGGAGUUAAGCUGCUGCAAUGUGUGAGCAGCCAAAGUGUGAGAUUCAUGUGUAGCGCAGCAUGCUUGUGACGUAUGUAACGUAACGGUCCUAGGAUCGAUUGUGUAAACUUUUGAGCUGCGCAUCAGCUUUUCAUUGACGUUCAUUGUGGUGUGCUGUCUGCACUUUGCUUGUUUGUGAAGUAUAUACAUAUUAUUCUCUG